AAAUGCCGCCAAGGAGGGGUGCACGUAGGGGUGGCCGAGGAGGCCGAGGAAGGGGAGCAGGAAGUGUUCAACUUGAGGUGCAGCUUGUAGCCCAAGCCACUGACCCGGCUGCGCCAGUUACUCAUGCGGACCUAGCUGCCAUGGAGCAGAGGUUCAGGGAUUUGAUUAUGCAGAUACGGGAGCAGCAGCAGCCUGCCCCGCCAGCUCCAACGCCAGCUCCUGCUCCAGCUCCGACUCCAGUACCAGUUGUGCCCCAGGUUGUGCCGGAUCAGUUGUCAGCAGAGGCCAAGCACCUGAGGGAUUUCAGGAAGUAUAACCCCACGACAUUCGAUGGGUCUUUGGAGGACCCUACCAGGGCUCAGCUGUGGUUAUCGUCUUUGGAAACCAUAUUCCGGUACAUGAAGUGCCAUGAGGAUCAGAAAGUUCAGUGUGCUGUUUUCAUGUUGACAGACAGAGGUACUGCAUGGUGGGAGACUACAGAGAGAAUGCUAGGUGGUGAUGUGAGUCAGAUCACGUGGCAACAGUUCAAGGAGAGUUUCUAUGCGAAAUUCUUCUCUGCUAGUUUGAGAGAUGCCAAGCGGCAGGAGUUCCUGAACUUAGAGCAGGGUGACAUGACAGUGGAGCAGUAUGAUGCGGAGUUUGACAUGUUAUCCCGCUUCGCUCCCGAGAUGAUAGCGACCGAGGCGGCCAGAGCUGAUAAGUUUGUUAGAGGCCUCCGACUGGACAUUCAGGGUUUGGUUCGAGCUUUCCAACCUGCUACACAUGCCGAUGCACUGCGCCUAGCAGUGGAUCUCAGUUUACAGGAGAGGGCUAACUCGUCGAAGGUCGCAGGUAGAGAUUCGACCUCGGCACAGAAAAGGAAGGCUGAGCAGCAGCCUAUUCCAGUGCCGCAGCGGAACUUCAGACCAGGUGGUGAGUUUCGCCGCUUCCAGCAGAAACCUUUUGAGGCAGGGGAAGCUGCCAGGGGGAAGUCAUUGUGUACCACUUGUGGGAAGCACCAUCUGGGCCGUUGUUUAUUUGGGACCAGGACUUGCUUUAAGUGUAGGCUAGAGGGGCAUACAGCUGACAGAUGCCCGAUGAGGAUUACCGGGAAUGCGCAGAAUCAGGGAGCAGGUGCUCCACAUCAGGGUAAAGUCUUUGCUACCAACAAGACAGAGGCUGAGAGGGCAGGCACGAUGGUGACAGGUAGGGGUACAGCGAGGGGCAGACCGACGAGAGGCAGGAAGGAUGCGUGAAGGCCAUAUGGACGCGUCUGGUUUUCUUUUCGCUUCCGCUAUGCAUUUUGUCAGAAUAUUUUGACUGUGAUUUUGGACUGGUAAGGGUACAGCGAGGGGCAGACCGACGAGGGGCAAGAAGGAUGCGUGAAGGCCAUAUUGACGCGUCUGGUUUUCUUUAUGCUUUCGCUGAUGUAUUUUGUUAGAAUAUUUGGUUUUGUGAUUUUGAGUUGAUGACUUGAGUAUUUUAUUUGAAACUUUCGUGACUGUGAUUUAAAAUAGGGCCCAAAACUGUUUUUGUAAUAUUUCUAACGUUUUAACGAAUCGUAACUGGUCCGUUAUGAA